rnacentral:rRNA from 1 species
CCUACGGGUGGCAGCAGUAGGGAAUAUUGCUCAAUGGGGGAAACCCUGAAGCAGCAACGCCGCGUGGAGGAUGAAGGUUUUCGGAUUGUUAACUCCUUUUGUUAGAGAAGCUAAUGACGGUACCUAACGAAUAAGCACCGGCUAACUCCGUGCCAGCAGCCGCGGUAAUACGGAGGGUGCAAGCGUUACUCGGAAUCACUGGGCGUAAAGAGCGCGUAGGCGGGAUAGCAAGUCAGAUGUGAAAUCCUAUGGCUUAACCAUAGAACUGCAUUUGAAACUGUUAUUCUAGAGUGUGGGAGAGGUAGGUGGAAUGCGUGGUGUAGGGGUAAAAUCCGUAGAGAUCAAGAGGAAUACUCAUUGCGAAGGCGACCUGCUAGAGCAUAACUGACGCUGAUGCGCGAAAGCGUGGGGAGCAAACAGGAUUAGAUACCCGUGUAGUC